CCUGUCAGUCGUCCGAACUAUAUGCAUCAAUACAUCGACAGCUUCCGAUCCAAGAAAGGCAUCUUUAUAAAGAAGACCAUCCUUCACACGGUCACCGAUGUUAAGACGCUUUCGGAACUCAACGGCGACUUGAGAAAGAAAAGCCGGAUGUAUAUAAGGGCGACGAGAUGAGGUAGAAUUGGAAUGCGAAGGGGCGAUGUUCGAAAUCGCAGAUGC